rnacentral:rRNA from 1 species
CCCUAUUGCGUUGGAAACUGCCAAACUAGAGUACUGGAGAGGUAGGCGGAACUACAAGUGUAGAGGUGAAAUUCAUAGAUAUUUGUAGGAAUGCCGAUGGGGAAGCCAGCCUACUGGACAGAUACUGACGCUAAAGCGCGAAAGCGAGGGUAGCAAACA